AACGUAGGAGACAAACGUUAUCCGGAGUUACUGGGCGUAAAGGGCGUGUAGGUGGUUUCGUAAGUCUGGCGUGAAAUUUUUCGGCUUAACCGGGAAAGGUCGUCGGAUACUGCGGAGCUAGAGGACGGUAGAGGCGUGUGGAAUUCCGGGUGUAGUGGUGAAAUGCGUAGAGAUCCGGAGGAACACCAGUGGCGAAGGCGACACGCUGGGCCGUACCUGACACUGGUGCGCGACAGCAUGGGGAGCAAACAGGG
rnacentral:rRNA from 1 species